ACGAACGUUAGCGGCAGGCUUACACAUGCAAGUCGAGCGCCCCGCAAGGGGAGCGGCAGACGGGUGAGUAACGCCUGGUUGGGGGACAACUCGAGGAAACUCGGGCUAAUACCGCAUACGCCCUAAGGGGGAAAGCGAGGGAUCUUCGGACCUCGUGCUAUCAGAUGAGCCUGCGUCGGAUUAGCUAGUUGGUGAGGUAAUGGCUCACCAAGGCGACGAUCCGUAGCUGGUCUGAGAGGAUGAUCAGCCACACUGGGACUGAGACACGGCCCAGACUCCUAUGGGAGGCAGCAGUGGGGAAUAUUGGACAAUGGGGGCAACCCUGAUCCAGCCAUACCGCGUGUGUGAAGAAGGCCUUAGGGUUGUAAAGCACUUUCAGUAGGGAGGAAAAGUAAGUAGUUAAUAGCUGCUUACCCUGACGUUACCUACAGAAGAAGCACCGGCAAACUCCGUGCCACCAGCCGCGGUAAUACGGAUGGUGCGAGCGUUAAUCGGAAUUCCUGGGCGUAAUAGAGGUGAAAUCCCGGGGCUCAACCUCGGAAUUGCCUUUGAUACUGUAGGUCUCGAGACCGGAAGAGGUGAGUGGAAUUCCUAGUGUAGAGGUGAAAUUCGUAGAUAUUAGGAAGAACACCAGUGGCGAAGGCGGCUCACUGGUCCGGUACUGACGCUGAGGUGCGAAAGCGUGGGGAUCAAACAGGAUUAGAUCCCCUGGUAGUCCACGCCGUAAACGAUGGGUGCUAGCCGUUGGCCAGCAUGCUGGUCGGUGGCGCAGCUAACGCAUUAAGCACCCCGCCUGGGGAGUACGGCCGCAAGGUUAAAGCUCAAAGGAAUUGACGGGGGCCCGCACAAGCGGUGGAGCAUGUGGUUUAAUUCGAGGCAACGCGAAGAACCUUAACCAGCCCUUGACAUGCCCGGACGGUUUCCAGAGAUGGAUUCCUCCUAGCAAUAGGCCGGGACACAGGUGCUGCAUGGCCGGUCGUCAGCUCGUGUCGUGAGAUGUCGGGUUAAGUCCCAUAACGAGCGAAACCACUUACCCUUAGUUGCUACGCGUCAUGGCGAGGACUCUAGGGGGACUGCCGGUGUCAAACCGGAGGAAGGCGGGGAUGACGUCAAGUCCUCAUGGCACUUUACGUCCAGGGCUGCACACGUGCUACAAUGGCGUGAACAGAGGGAAGCAAAAGCGCGAGCUCAAGCAAAUCCCAAAAAACACGCCCCAGUUCAGAUCGAGGGCUGCAACUCGCCCUCGUGAAGUUGGAAUCGCUAGUAAUCGCAGGUCAGCAACACUGCGGUGAAUGCAUUCAUGAGCAUGA
rnacentral:rRNA from 1 species